GAUGAAGAACGCAGCGAAAUGCGAUACGUAAUGUGAAUUGCAGAAUUCAGUGAAUCAUCGAAUCUUUGAACGCAUAUUGCGCUCUUUGGUAUUCCGAAGAGCAUGCUUGUUUGAGUAUCAGUAAACACCUCAAAGUCUUUUUUUCUUGAAGAAAAAGACCUUGGACUUGAGCAAUCCCAACUCUUCUUUCAGAAGAGGCGGGUUGCUUGAAAUGCAGGUGCAGCUGGACAUUCUCCUGAGCUAAAAGCAUAUUCAUUUAGUCCCGUCAAACGGAUUAUUACUUUUGCUGCAGCUAACAUAAAGGGAGUUUGACCAUUUUGGCUGACUGAUGCAGGAAUUUCACAAGAGUCUUCAAAACGCUCUUGUUAAACUCGAUCUCAAAUCAAGUAAGACUACCCGCUGAACUUAAGCAUAUCAAUAAGCGGAGGA
rnacentral:misc_RNA from 1 species